UAGCUUUGAAAUGCUUCGCCGACUUCGUACAAGGAUGCACCUCCAAAUCGAUCAAAGAGGUUUAAUUUGCACAGGAAUAAUAAUUGCCGAUCUGGAGCAGUAAACUAUGUUCUUUCAUCCGGCUUCAUACCGGGGUUACGCUAGUAGCAUAACAGAUCGAAAUAUAUCGAUCGCCUCCGAGUCUCCGAGUGCUAAAUUUUGGUGUACAGUUUACGUGUACUUGGAGAAAUUUAGGCUCUUGUGGAUAUACUAUGUUUUAGGACAAUAAAUAAUCGAGAUAAACGUACCAUCACUGGCUGUCUCCGUUUCCUGCACAGAAUACUGUCAUGCAUCAAUCAAUCAGAAACCGUAGGUCCAAUGAAAAGGACAUGGAAGACUACUGGAGUAAAAUAAUUGGCAAGGCCAACUGGAGCCUGAAGAAGAGCCAUGACUUUUUCUACUUAUGCGCGACGGGGAUAGAAAGACCGGUCCGUUUAACAAUUUCAGAAAUUGCAUAAUUUAAGAGCCACCGGCUAGAGGCGAGAGCAGGCUCUUUUUUUUUUCUUUUUCUCUUCAGCUGUAUGUCAGGAAUAAUGGAAGCAUCUGAUCCUAUGUGGCAGCGACACUAGUAGUAGGCAGAGGUUCGUAUGAUCGAUCAUCCGAUUGCCUUGGAACCUGCAAAUAAUCUUUCAUGCGUGAUGUACAUGUUCUUCAGUGGGUAGAGCACUUCCGUCAGGAAAACCAAAUUAGGCCGUCGAGGAUUGCAAUUUGCAGGUGAGGAACAUUUUGAAACUAAGAAAUUGCUUGUAGAAUUAGGUUGUGCAGAAACUGUUUUUGCUGCUACGUUUGGGUUUUAUCUUCGACUUGCCCUGAGAACAAGAGAAUUCGUAAAAUGCAGUGUUGCAAAGUCAGACAUAACCGGUUGUUGCAUAGAAUCAUGGGCUAGCAGCAGUCGCUAGGAAUAUCUCGUUUAUUAGUAGAUGGGAUCAGUAAUCGCUUUCAUGUCCACUUGUCGCCGGGCACCGUCCCGCCAUUCUCUAUUCGUUUUCUUCCCAAGACCGACCCAUCGAAUCAGAGUAAUUCCCCUGCUCAUCCGAUCCGCUGCACCCACGCACGCAUCACGGCAUGCAGCUAGGGAUCACGUACUGCACGGCACUACACGGUCGUAGUACGACUUAUCUUGGGGGCACUUGAAAGAUGCCUUUUCAACUGCGCUGUGCGUCGCAAGCAUGCACUCGGCACGCUACGCACGCAGCAGUACGAUCGAGCCUGCAAGUUUACGCCGCAGCCCGUACUUAUCCCGGCCAGUCGUAGGGCAACUACAUGUACUCUUGGAGGAAUUCAUCAGAUCGAUCAAAUGUUGCGUGCAAUAAUCGAGUCGGCCGGUGGUGGUGCGCCCCGGAAGGGG
rnacentral:lncRNA from 1 species